UUGAUGGGUUUUUUUUAUCGGGAUCAAUCGCAGGCACGCCUCGACGCAUUUUAUUCAAAACAACUCAAACAGUACCUCAAGGCUAAGUAGCGAGUACAAAAAAUUGUUGCGUAAUUUUUCAAUAAGCCAGUUUGCGUAACUGUGAGACACUGAUGCGCGCUGCCAGCAAAAUAAUGUGGGUUAGACCGUUCGUCUGUCUUUACCCGAGCAACUAGCUGAAUUUGGUGUUUGAAAAAUCCACUUGCAAUUUAGGUCAUCUAACUAGACAAGCUUGGAGCAGGUCCAAGUUGGACUUUUAUGAAUGUUUCAACUGCUUGGUCGCGUGCACUCGUUAGGGAAGGUCGGGAAACUGCAACUAAACCCACUUGUGCAUUUGAUGCCCACCCAAUGUUCAAUUAAAAUUCCCGCAUCAAACAAUGGAGGAGAAAAAUACCAUUUGAACACAUUCAAGGUUUCAGCCUUGCUCCGUUAGCAAAUUCCGGUACCAUCGGAACGCCAAUGCAGCCAAAACAGUUGAUCGCCGACCCUGAACGCCCGAAAAUACAUUCCGUUAGUUGAUUUUCUAAAUUAGUUAUUGAGCAAGACCACGCAUUUUUCGGCAGCUUACGUAAUACGCCGAAUAGAUUAAUAUGUAACCGACAGCUUCGGUUUUAUUGCUUUUACCUUGUAGCUCAUAUGAUGUGGUUUUUAUUCAAUAGAAUGAGGUGCUGAAA